UACGGAGGGGGCUAGCGUUGUUCGGAAUUACUGGGCGUAAAGCGCACGUAGGCGGCUUUGUAAGUCAGAGGUGAAAGCCCGGAGCUUAACUCCGGAAUUGCCUUUAAGACUGCAUCGCUUGAAUCCGGGAGAGGUGAGUGGAAUUCCGAGUGUAGUGGUGAAAUGCGUAGAGAUCCGGAGGAACACCAGUGGCGAAGGCGACACGCUGGGCCGUACCUGACGCUAAAGCAGCGACAGCAUGGGGGAGCAAACGGG
rnacentral:rRNA from 1 species